UACGGGGGGAGCAAGCGUUGUUCGGAUUUACUGGGCGUAAAGGGCGCGUAGGCGGCCACCGCAAGUCGACUGUGAAAUCUCCGGGCUUAACCCGGAAAGGUCAGCCGAUACUGCGGGGCUAGAGUGCAGAAGGGGCAACUGGAAUUCUCGGUGUAGCGGUGAAAUGCGUAGAUAUCGAGAGGAACACCUGCGGCGAAGGCGGGUUGCUGGGCUGACACUGACGCUGAGGCGCGAAAGCUAGGGGAGCGAUCCGG
rnacentral:rRNA from 1 species